ACUUNUCCAUUUCUUAAUUUUGUGCAACGCUGAUUUCCUUAGAUGAGAUGUGUUGGCAGCUGGAUGUUAGCUAGUCUCUUACCUUUAUUUACUUUAGAAUGAAGAAGUGAUUGCUUUAACUUUGGAGGAACGUUUAACAUGAAUUUUGGAGUGGAUAUUAUUUUUAGGAGUUGUUGUAGACGCUGGCAUUCAAUCUUUGGGCUGCAGCGUUUUUCUUUUUUUAUUAUUCAAGCUUCUUUGCACUCUUUCUUUGCUUGACCAAAGCUGUUACGGGACACUUCUUUUCCG
rnacentral:lncRNA from 1 species